rnacentral:rRNA from 1 species
GUGGGGAAUAUUGGGCAAUGGGCGAAAGCCUGACCCAGCAACGCCGCGUGAAGGAAGAAGGUUUUCGGAUCGUAAACUUCUAUCCUUGGUGAAGAUAAUGACGGUAGCCAAGAAGGAAGCCCCGGCUAACUACGUGCCAGCAGCCGCGGUAAUACGUAGGGGGCAAGCGUUGUCCGGAAUGAUUGGGCGUAAAGGGCGCGUAGGCGGCCCGGUAAGUCUGAAGUGAAAGUACUGCUUUUAAGGUGGGAAUUGCUAUGGAUACUGGCGGGCUUGAGUGCAGGAGAGGUAAGCGGAAUUCCCGGUGUAGCGGUGAAAUGCGUAGAGAUCGGGAGGAACAGCAGUGGCGAAGGCGGCUUACUGGACUGUAACAGACGCUGAGGCGAGAAAGUGUGGGGAGCAAACAGGAUUAGAAACCCGAGUAGUCC